rnacentral:rRNA from 1 species
AUUGAACGCUGGCGGCAGGCCUAACACAUGCAAGUCGAGCGGUAGCACAGAGAGCUUGCUCUCGGGUGACGAGCGGCGGACGGNGUGAGUAAUGUCUGGCGAAACUGCCUGAUGGAGGGGGAUAACUACUGGAAACGGUAGCUAAUACCGCAUAACGUCGCAAGACCAAAGUGGGGGACCUUCGGGCCUCAUGCCAUCAGAUGUGCCCAGAUGGGAUUAGCUAGUAGGUGGGGUAAUGGCUCACCUAGGCGACGAUCCCUAGCUGGUCUGAGAGGAUGACCAGCCACACUGGAACUGAGACACGGUCCAGACUCCUACGGGAGGCAGCAGUGGGGAAUAUUGCACAAUGGGCGCAAGCCUGAUGCAGCCAUGCCGCGUGUAUGAAGAAGGCCUUCGGGUUGUAAAGUACUUUCAGCGAGGAGGAAGGCGUUAAGGUUAAUAACCUUGGCGAUUGACGUUACUCGCAGAAGAAGCACCGGCUAACUCCGUGCCAGCAGCCGCGGUAAUACGGAGGGUGCAAGCGUCAAUCGGAAUUACUGGGCGUAAAGCGCACGCAGGCGGUCUGUCAAGUCGGAUGUGAAAUCCCCGGGCUCAACCUGGGAACUGCAUUCGAAACUGGCAGGCUAGAGUCUUGUAGAGGGGGGUAGAAUUCCAGGUGUAGCGGUGAAAUGCGUAGAGAUCUGGAGGAAUACCGGUGGCGAAGGCGGCCCCCUGGACAAAGACUGACGCUCAGGUGCGAAAGCGUGGGGAGCAAACAGGAUUAGAUACCCUGGUAGUCCACGCCGUAAACGAUGUCGACUUGGAGGUUGUGCCCUUGAGGCGUGGCUUCCGGAGCUAACGCGUUAAGUCGACCGCCUGGGGAGUACGGCCGCAAGGUUAAAACUCAAAUGAAUUGACGGGGGCCCGCACAAGCGGUGGAGCAUGUGGUUUAAUUCGAUGCAACGCGAAGAACCUUACCUACUCUUGACAUCCAGAGAACUUAGCAGAGAUGCUUUGGUGCCUUCGGGAACUCUGAGACAGGUGCUGCAUGGCUGUCGUCAGCUCGUGUUGUGAAAUGUUGGGUUAAGUCCCGCAACGAGCGCAACCCUUAUCCUUUGUUGCCAGCGAUUAGGUCGGGAACUCAAAGGAGACUGCCAGUGAUAAACUGGAGGAAGGUGGGGAUGACGUCAAGUCAUCAUGGCCCUUACGAGUAGGGCUACACACGUGCUACAAUGGCAUAUACAAAGAGAAGCGACCUCGCGAGAGCAAGCGGACCUCAUAAAGUACGUCGUAGUCCGGAUUGGAGUCUGCAACUCGACUCCAUGAAGUCGGAAUCGCUAGUAAUCGUAGAUCAGAAUGCUACGGUGAAUACGUUCCCGGGCCU